CUAUGUACAUUUAAACAAAAUGGAGGCUCUUUAGUUAAUAAAACUAAAGAGCCUCCAUUUUGUUUAAAUAUACAUAG